UUAAAGAUUCAUGGGUCGAAGUAAAAGGAGCUCAGCUCAGGGGCCUGUGUGCCUUGUUUCCAAGAUCCGAUGGAUAGCUUUCAUAUUCCCUCAGGCUUUCAUUCAGAUGGAGGGGCAGUCUUAUUAUUUAGUGGAAAUGGACUACAUGCCGGUAAUUUAAUUCUCUCGAUACAAACAUUAGCGGCAUUUGUGUAUUUUGCCAUAAAAUUGUGUUCUUUUACCAGCCAUUCAAAGUAAGGGCCAGUAAAGGUUAAAAUAUUGAGUCUAUUUCUAAUGGUUCUACCCUCCCUUCAACUUUUUGCUGUAAAAUAUUCUCUCACUCCAGUAUGAAUACACAUAUUCUUAUUCUCUCACAAGUUGAAAAUAAAUCUUCUCUGCCUCAAACCGCAAAAUUUAGUAGACAUCUCCGUCUCUAUCAUUAUUGUCAGCGCGCAACUCAUCUCUCUCACAAUCACCGGCCACCAUCACCAGGUAAUCUCUCGCUUUCUUUAUUUUUUUAUUUUGAUGACUCUACUCAUGAAAUGCAAUGCAAAAUUAUAUAAAUAUUAAUUUGCAUCCGUAGUGAAUGCAGAAGAAGGUGUGUCUUCUUUAGGUCUUUAUGCCGAUUAGAUUAAAUAAAGAUUUGAUUGAUCUUGAAGAACUAGGGUUUCUCUAGUGGUCAAAAUACACCGUUCUUUUGUUCGUUUCUUUGUACUUUUGACCUUAUUCAUUUCUUCUUCCUUUGAUGGUAGGCCUCAUUAAAUAUCAACUUUUUUUUCUUUUUCUCUGGAUCAUCUAUUGGAAAGGUUCAAUAUAGAAUUUAUUAACCUAAAUUUGAUCCAUAAUUUUGAUACGGAAUUGAGAAAAAGAAAGUAAAUUUUAAGAUGCAUUCCGGUGAAUUGGGUCUUGUGAAAAAAUGGAGAUUUCAUUUGGUAAUUGGAAUUGCAAUAAGGGUAUGUUUUUCAAGCUCUGUUGAAGGGAAACACUUUUAAUAUAGAAUCAUAUGCACUUAAACUGCUUCUAGUGAGUAUCAUUAAAUUACUAAUAUUUUUUUAUAACAUGUGCAAGAGAAUUCACAUAAUGGAGAUGUUUUUUAUGUCUUUACAUCAUGUUGUCUUAUCCCAUACUUUAAUAAAGUAAGUUUUCUCUUUUUGUUGAUAAUUGAGAUUAUAGAAAAAUAGUAAUUGAUUUUUUUGAUUAUAUCUCUAUUUCUUUAUUAUGUCUUUGCGGUGAAAACUUGUUCUUGAUAUAAUAAUGUUAUACAUAUGAUAGAAGAUGUUCAAUUAUUUGUAGUAACAUGAAUUUAUUUAUGUAUGAGAGAACAUUGUCUAUUUAAUAUGUUUUAAAGCUAUUUAAUUAGUUCAUUAUAUUAUUCAUUAGAUGUGAAUUGUUGACGGACUAAAUUUGUUCCACUUACUUAUUCAUGUUAAUUAAAUGCUACCUAUUUUUACUUGAAACAUUCUUGGUUGUAUUCGCAAGUUGUCUCAUAGAUAUAGAGACGAAUUAAAAGUGACUUUAGUCUCUAAAGGAAGGCUUAUAUUGGAAAAGUCAACCAGAUAUUGACUAUUAAAUUACAGGCUCGGAUGUGAAUUUCGGUGAUUCAGUUAGUUUUAGGAGAUGAUUUGUGUCAGGAGUGCGAUCAGAAUUGAUUUUUUAGGCCCGGUGUAGAAUUAGGCUUGAAUUGGCGAAGUUAGUAUUUUGGCGAAAUACGGUGGAUAGGUGAGAUUUUGAUCCGGGGGUCGGAAUGGAAUUUCGAGAGUUGCACUAGAUCCGUUAGGUGAUUUUGGAUAUGUGUGCAAAGUUUCAGGUCAUACAGAGGUGUUUAGGUCGGGUUUUGAUCGAAUAUGCAAUUCGGAAGUUUUUAAGAAACUUAGGCUUUGAUUUGAUGAAAUUUGAGAAUUUUGAUGUUAACGAUAGUGUUUUGAUGGUUCUAGCAAGUUUGAAUAAGCUAAUAGAACAUCUAUGUGCUUUUGGUUGAGGUCCCGAGGGCCUCGGUGUGAGAUCGGGUGUUUAAACGAGAGUUUUUGUAAUUUGCUUCAGGUUUGUAUUAGUGUCAUCUGGUAUUUCUGCUUCUGUGGAAAUGAACCGCAGAAGCGGGUGAAGGAGCACAAAAGCGGUUCUUCACCUGGUGAGGAGAUUUUGCAAAAGUAGAAUAUUGUCCGCAAAAGCAAGUCUGCAGGAGCGGACUUUCAACCGCAGAAGCGGUAAUGGGUGAUCCGCAGAAGUGAAUUUUUAUAUUUAAAACCGGAAAUUUCAAACCUUAAUGAAAAUCACAGAAGGGUUUUAAAUCAUUAUUUCAUCCGCGAGUCUAUUCGAUUUUUUCUCUAUUGUUAACCACCUUAAGAGCUUUUUGGUAAAAAUUGAAGAGGAUUUUGACGGAAAUCGAUUGGAGGUAAGUCUCGUGAUCUAGAAACGUCAUAUUAAGUAAGAAUCUACCUUUAAUUCUUGGGAAAUUGGGUAAAAGAUUUGAAGAACUAGGGCUUGCUUUUAGAAAUGAAAAUUACAUAUUUGAAAGAGCAUUUGAACUCUCAUUUUGGUAAAUUUGGUAUCUACGGGCUCGUGGCGAGAUGAGGAAUCCGGUAAUGUAAAUUUCGUAAUUUUUUUAGAAGUGGGCUCGGGGCUCGAGUUUUGCCAACUUCGUAAUUUUUGGUAUUUUUCGAGUAUUUUCGAUUGGGUUAUGUUUCUUUGGCACAUUGUAAUGUAUUCCUUAUGUUUUUUAUCAGAUUCGACGCAUGGAGAGGUCGAUUCGAGAGGAAAGAGCAUUGCGAGCUAGUCUUAGGCCGGCUAGAGGUGAGUAAUAGAUGUGGAUGAUGACCUAAUGGUUUGAAACCCGAUAUAUCAUAUUGUGACGCUAUAUUGAGGCGAGACACGCACUCCAUGACGAGUGCGGGGUCAUUUUUGGGGACUAUGUCUUAGUACGCCCCGAGUGGUGUCCAAGCUGCACUUUAGACUAUAGACUGAUUAGCAAACAUCCUACUUGGAUUGUUAAAAUAUAUUUGGGCUAUAUGCGGACUAAUUGAAUCCCUUGGGGAUUAUCAUCACUGCUUCUAUGCUGCUUAGCAUGCUAUAUGAUUUUAGUCCUGAGUUUUAAACAUUUUUUCGAACUGUUUAGUCACAUUCCUAAGGUUUUAAAAACUUAAACUAAUAUUUUUUCCUAAUAAUUGGAACUGAGAACUAUAAUUUGACUUUGCUAUGUGACUCACAUGCAUAUUCUGGACUGAGUGUAGAUCGGGCUGCAUGCCGCAGCAAUGAUAUGAUGAUAUUGCGCGUGGGCUGUAGGAGCCCCUCUAGAGUCUGAACCCCCACAGUGAGUGCAUGUACCAAAAUGGAUCGCGCUGCGCGCCGCAGCGGUCAUGUGCAUUGUAUUGCAUUCAAAUUUUGAUAUUUAUCUGAUCUAACUGACUUUGUUUUGUUACCACUUCACCGUUAAUUAUGAUAAAUUGUUAGUUAUAGCUUCACAUUGUGGUAUUUCGUGGAUUCUCAUCUUAAGUCAUUCUAUAUGCUUAUUACUCACUGAGUUGGAAGUAUUCACUUUACUAUAUGAACCAUGUGUGCAGACACAAGUGUUCUAGAGGCUUAGUAGUGUUCUUGCUGCUCUUCAGAUUAUCUCAAAAGUUGUCGAGAUAGUUGUCUGGCAUCCGUAGGACCCGACUCCUCCCCUUAUCUAUUUGAUUUUGCAUCUUAGACUCUAUUAUGAUUCGACUUUGCUACUCAGUUAUAUUAGAGGCUUUAAACUCGUGACUUAUAUCUGUUUGGAGUUGUUUUGACAGUUAUUCUGGUUUUCCGUGUUCUUUCUCUUUACUAUCAGAUUAUGAAUCUUGUUAACUGCUAAAUUCACUUAAUCAAUUGUUAAUGAGAUUUUGUAUUUUGGUUGAGAGUGUUUUAAAAAAAACGGGCUUGCCUAGCAUUCGUGUUGGGUUCCAUCACGACCGCGAUUGGGGCGUGACAAGUUGGUAUCAGAGCUUAGGUUGCUAGGCUUCGCGACUCCUGAGCCGGUUUAGUAGGGCCACACAGAUCGGUAAGGAGACGUCUGUAUUUAUCCUCGAGAGGCUACAUAACCUUUAGGAAACACUUCACAUUCUUGAAAUUCUUGUCGUGCCACUUUGUUGAUCCAAGAACUAAACUUAUGUAUUCUAUUCUCUCGCAAAUGGCGAGAACCCGUGCUACCGGACGUGACGGACGACCACCAUUGCCACCUACUAAAGGCCAUGGGCGCGGUCGUGGUCGUGGUUGAGGUAGACUAGUGAGGGCAGCACAAGCAGAUCCACCAACUGCCCUGGUUCAAGACCAACCUCCAGUUGUAGAUGCUCCAGCAGCACCUGUUCAGGCAUCGGCAGUGCCCAUUAUGAUUCUAGGUCUUCAGAAGGCUUUAGCUCAUAUCUUAUCCGUCUGCACUGGCCUGGCUCAGGUAGUCUCAGCCACUACUGCAGCAGCUACUUCUCAGACCGGGGGUGGUUAUCAGACCCCCGUUGUUCGCACACUCGAGCAGGGUGUUCAAGGAUUACACACACCGGGAGUAGCCCCAGCUAUUCUAGUUGCACUAGUUGAUCCAAUUGCGCCAGUCGCACCAGCUCCAGACUUUGUGGUUCCGGCUAUGCCAAACGACAAGCAGCGUCGAGUUGAAAGGUUCGGUAGGCUCCAUCCUCCGACAUUCAGUGGUACUGAGGGCGAGGAUGCCCAGGGAUUUCUAGACAAGUGUCAGUGUAUGCUUUGCACUGCGGGGAUUUUGGAGUCGAGUGGAGUGGCUUUUACUACUUUCUAGUUCUCAGGGCUUGCAUUUACAUGGUGGGAGGAGUUUAACAGGCGUAGGCGUGUUGGAGCAGCGCCCCUUACUUGGCAGUAGUUCUCCAUUCUCUUUUUGGAGAAGUAUGUACCGCAGUCUCGUAGGGAGGAGCUGCGUCGUCAAUUUGAGUGGUUGAUUCAGGGGGGACAUGACUGUGACCCAGUACGAGUUGAGGUUUAUGCAGCUAGCUCGGCAUGCUACUUGGAUGAUCCCAACAGAUCAAGAGAGGAUUAGGAGGUUCGUGGAUGGUCUCAACUAUCUACUCCACAUUUUGAUUACUAGAGAGAGGGUUGUGGCCGCCUCAUUUAAGGAGGUAGUUAAUAUGGCUCGACAUUUUGAGACAGAUCACUAUUGGGAGUGUGAGGAUGGGGAGGCCGAAAGUCCUCGAGGUUCAGGUAGCUUUAGUGUUGCUCCGUCUAGGGGCCAGUUCUAGCGUGGCAGAGGUCAUUCCUUCAGGCCUCCUCAGUCAGAUCAUCCAGAGUAUAGUGGGGCUUCUUCAGGCCGUGGUCACCAUGGAUUUCAGCAGGCCAGUCUUCACUUAGAGCCCUUCCAGCUCAGAGCUCUACUCCUUCCACUUCAGCUCAGGGUUCAUCUGCAGUGAGGGGUUCCCUUCAGUCCUUUUCUACAGCUCCGGGUAGUUGCUACGAGUGCAGUGAUUUUGGUCACAUGAGGAGACAGUGUCCUCGGCUUCGUGGUGGUCAGUCUCAGCAGAGGGAUCUUCCCUCAUCUUCUGCUCCUGUUUUAUCAUCACCUACUUAGUCAGCAAGGGGUGGAGGCCAGGUAUCCAGGGGCCUCCCUAGGGGUGGAGGCCGGACUGGCAGUGGUCAGUCUCGAUUCUAUGCUCUUCCAAACAUGAGGGACGCUAUUGCAUCAGAUGCUGUUAUCACAUGUAUUAUCUCAGUCUGCCAUAGGGAUGCUUCUGUCUUAUUUGAUCCUGGAUCUACAUACUCUUAUGUGUCUUCAUAUUUUUGCCCAUCAUCUGGGUAUGACCGGUGGUUUUCUUGCCUUGCCUGUGCAUAUAUCUACCCCGGUGGGUGAUACUAUUAUUGUGGAUCAUGUAUAUCGAUCAUGUUUGGUGAUUAUUGGGGGUAUGGAGACCUGAGUUGACUUAUAAUUGUUGGGCAAGGUAGAUUUUAAUGUGAUUCUGGGUAUGGAUUGGCUAUCCCCGUACCAUGCUAGUAUGGACUGUCAUGACAAGAUAGUUACGUUAGCUAUUCCGGGUGUCCCGAGGAUCGAGUGGCGAGGUAUGACUGAUUAUGUACCCAUCAAGGUAAUUUCCUUCCUAAAGGCCCAGCAGACGAUCGGGAAAGGUUUUUUUAUCGUACUUGGCUUUUGUUGGAGAUGUUGGAGCCAAGACUCCUAGUAUUGACUCGGUACCCGUUUUGAGGGAUUUUCCUUAUGUGUUUCCAGCGAAUUUGGUAUUGAUCUGGUGCCGAACACUUAGCCCAUCUCUAUUCCUCCCUAUCGUAUGGCGCCAGCUAAGUUAAAGGAGUUGACGGAGCAGCUUCAGGAACUCCUAGAUAAGGGGUUCAUUCGUACGAGUGUGUCACCGUGGGGUGCACUGGUCUUAUUUGUGAAGAAGAAGGAUGUCACAAUGAGAAUGUCCAUUGACUACAGACAGUUGAACAAGGUGACAGUGAAGAACAAGUAUCCACUACCUUGUAUUGAGGAUUUGUUUGACAAGCUUCAGGGGCAAAGGUGUUCUCUAAGAUAGGUCUCCGUUCAGGCUAUCACCAGUUGAAGAUUCGGAAUUCAGACAUUAUGAAGACCGAUUUCAGGACGAGAUAUGGGCACUAUGAGUUUCUGGUUAUGUCAUUUGGGCUAACUACUGCCUCAGCCGCGUUCAUGCACUUGAUGAACAUUGUAUUUUGGCCGUAUCUCGAUUUAUUUGUGAUUGUGUUUAUUAAUGACAUCCUGGUAUACUCGCGUAUCCAGGAGGAGCACGCACAUCAUUUGAGGGAGGUAUUGUAGAGACAGAGAGGAGAAACUCUAUGUAAUGUUCUCCAAGUGUGAGUUCUGGCUUGGUUCUGUGGCUUUUCUGGGACACGUGGUGUCCAGUGAUGGUAUUCAUGUGGAUCUAAAGAAGAUAGAGGCGGUGCAGAGUUGGUCUAGAUCGUCUUCAGCCACUGAGAUUCAGAGGUUCCUUGGUUUGGCGGGUUAUUAUCGCAGGUUCGUUCAGGGUUUUUCAUCCAUUGCUUUGCCCUUGACGAGGUUGAGGCAGAAGAAUGCUCCAUUUGUGUGGUCAAAUGAGUGCGAGGAAAGCUUUCAGAAGCUCAAGACAUCUUUGACCACAUCUUUGACCACAACUCUGUUAUUAGUAUUGUCAUCAGCUUAAGGUUCUUACACGGUGUAUUGUGAUGCUUCGAGAGUUAGGAUCGGAUGUGUAUUGAUGUAGGAGGGUAGAUUUAUUGCUUAUGCUUCUCGUCAGUUGUAGCCCCAUGAGAAGAACUACCCUGUUCAUGACUUAGAGUUGGCUGCUAUAUUUCAUGCUUUAAAGAUUUAGAGGCAAUAUUUAUAUGGCGUAUCUUGUGAGGUGUUCACAAAUCAUCGCUUUCUUCAGCAUUUGUUCAAGCAGAGGAUCUUAAUUUGAGGCAGCGGAGGUGGCUUGAGUUACUCAAGGACUAUGAUAUUACCAUUUUGUAUCACCCGGGGAAGGCUAAUGUAGUGGCCGAUGCUUUGAGUCGGAAGGCGGUUAGUAUGGGUAGUUUGGCGUACAUUCCCAGUUUGGAAGAGGCCCUUUGCAGUUGAUGUCCAGGCUUUGGCCAAUCAGAUGGUGAGACUAGAUAUUUCUGAGCCUAGUCGGGUGUUGGCUUGUGUGCUUUCUCGAUCUUCCUUGUAUGACCGCAAUAGAGAGCGCCAGUAUGAUGAUCCGCAUUUGCUUGUCCUGAAGGACAGGGUCCAUCAUGAUGAUGCCAGAGAUGUGACUAUUGGUAGUGAUGGUGUGUUGCGAAUGCAGGGCCGAAUUUGCGUGCACAAUGUGGAUGGGCUCCGACAGAUGAUGUUAGAGGAGGCCCACAGCUCGCGGUAUUCUAUUCAUCCUGGUGCCGCGAAGAUGUACCAGGACUUGAGGCUGCAUUAUUGAUGGAGGAGAAUGAAAAAGGACAUUUGUGAGUUAUGUGGCUAGGUUUCUCAAUUGUCAGCAGGUCAAAUAUGAGCAUCAGAGACCCGGUGGUGUACUUCAGCAGAUGGAUAUUCCGUAGUGGAAACGGGAGAACAUUACCAUGGACUUUGUGUCUCCCUUGUACCUCGAGGAACUUUGAUUCUAUUUGGGUGAUUGUGGAUAGGCUGACCAAGUCGAUGAUGGUGUGUUGAGAAUACAGGGCCGAAUUUGCGUGUCCAAUGUGGACGGGCUUCGGGAGUUGAUAUUGGAGGAGGCCCAUAGCUCGCGGUAUUCCAUUUAUCCGGGUGUCGCGAAGAUGUAUCAGUAUUUGGGGCAGCAUUACUGGUGGAGGAGAAUGAAGAAAGAUAUUGUGAGUUAAGUAGCUUGGUAUCUCAACUGUCAACAGGUCAAGUAUGAGCAUCAGAGGCCCGGUGGUGUACUUCAGUGCAUGGAUAUUCCCGAGUGGAAGUUGGAGAGGAUUACUAUGGAUUUUGUGAGUGGUAUCCCUCGGAUAGCGAGGAAGUUUGAUUCAAUUUGGGUGAUUGUGGAUCGGCAGACCAAGUCCGCGCACAUCAUUCUGGUAUAUACUACCUAUUCUUCAGAGCAGUUAGCGGAGAUUUUCAUCUGGGAGAUUGUAAGGUUGCAUAGGGUCCCAGUUUCCAUUAUCUCAGAUAGAGGUACUCGAUUUACUUCCUAGUUCUGGAGGACUUUUCAUCGAUAUUUGGGUACACAGGUAGAGUUGAGCACAGUAUUUCAUCCUUAGACGGACGGGCAGUCUGAGCGUACUAUUCAGAUAUUGGAGGACAUGUUGCGUGCCUAUGUUAUUGAUUUUAGAGGUUCUUGGGCUGAGUUCUUGCCACUUGCAGAGUUUGUUUACAAUAAGAGUUACCAAUCAAGUAUUCAGAUGGCGCCAUUUAUGGCCUUAUAUGGGAGACGGUGUAGAUCUCUGGUUGGUUGGUUUGAGCCCAGCGAGGCUAGACUAUUGGGGAUAGAUUUAGUCCAGGAUGCCUUAGAGAAGGUGAAAGUGAUCCAAGAGACUUUGUACAGCUCAGUCGCGUCAGAAGAGUUAUGCAGACCGUAAGGUUCAAGAUGUAUCUUAUAUGGUGGGCAAGAAGGUCUUGUUGAAGGUUUCGCCUAUGAAGGACGUUAUGAGGUUUGGGAAGAAAGGGAAGCUGAGUCCAUGGUUCAUUGGACCUUUUGAGAUACUUAUGAGGAUUGGGAGGUGGACUAUAUGAUUUCUUUUCCAACCAGCUUGUCGGGAGUUCUUCCGGUAUUCAAUGUUUCAUGCUCCGAAAGUAUGUUGGGGACCCGUCUCAUGUGUUAGACUUCAGCACAGUUCAGUUGGAUGAGGACUUGACCUAUGAUAUGGAGCUAGUGGCUAUUUUGGUUCGUCAGGUUCGGAAGUUAAGAUCUAAGGAUAUAGCUUCGGUGAAGGUGAAAUGGAUAGAUCGGCCCGUGGAAGAGGCUACCUGGGAGACCAAGCAGAAGAUUCGGAUCAGAUACCCUCACCUAUUUGAGGCUUCAGGUAUGUUUCUUGACCCGCUCCAGGACGAGCACUUGUUUAUGUCGGGGAGGAUGUGACGACCCGACCCAUCGUGUCAUGUAUUACAACCCCGUUUUCCCCAUUUAUUGCUUCUUCAAGUUUCAUGAUCGACAUUGGUGGUGUUAGAGUUGAAUUGGUUUGGUUUUGGUAGGAAACGAGACAUUUAGUCUACUUAAGGAAGGUUUAUAUUAGAAAAGUCAACCAUAUGUUGACUAUUGAGUUAGAGGGCUCGGAUGUAAAUUUCGGUGAUUCGAUUAGCAUCGGGGAUGGUUUGUGACUCAGAAGUGCGAUCGGAAUUGAUUUUGGAGGCCCGAUGUAGAAUUAGGCUUGAAUUGGCAAAGUUAGUAUUUUGGCGAAAUUCGGUGGAUAUGUGAGAUUUUGAUCUGGGGGUCAGAAUGGAAAUCUGAAAGUUAUGGUAGAUCCGUUAGGUGAUUUUGGAUAUGUGUGCAAAAUUUCAGAUCAUUCGGAAGUGUUUAGUCGGGUUUUUGGUCGAACUUACAAUUCAGAAGUUCUUAAGAAACUUAGGCUUUGAUUUGAUGAAAUUUGAGGAUUUUGAUGUUAAAGAUAGUAUUUGCAUGGUUCGAGCAAGUUUGAAUAAGGUAAUAGAACAUGUAUGUGCUUUUGGUUGAGGUUCCGGGGGCCUCGGGGUGAUAUCGGGUGUUUAAAUGAGAGUUUUUGAAGUUUGCUUCAGGUCUGUAUUCCUAUCAUCUGGUAUUUCCGCUUCUGUGGAAAUGGACCGCAGAAGCGGUUCUUGGCCUGGUGAGGAGAUUCUGCAAAAGCGGAACACUAUCCGCAAAAGCGAGUCUGCAGGAGCGGACUUUCAAUCGCAGAAGCUGUAAUGGGUGAUCUGCAUAAGCGGAUUUUUGGACGCAAAAGCGGAAAUUUCAAACCAUAAUGAAAACUGCAUAAGUGGAGUUUUCGCCGCAGAAGCGGUCCCGCAUAGGCGGAAGCUGGACCGUAGAAGCGAAAAUCGUUGUUAGCAGAAGGAUUUUAUAUCAUUAUUUCAUCCGCAAGUCUAUUUUAUUUUUCCUCCAUUGUUAACCACCUUAAGAGCUUUUUGGUAGGUAUUGAAGAGGAUUUUGACAGGAAUCAAUUGGUGGUAAGUCUAGUGACCUAGAAACGUCAUAUUAAGCAAGAAUCUACCUUUAAUUCUUGGGAAAUUGGGUAAAGAUUAAAAGAAUUAGGGCUUGGUUUUAGAAAUGAAAAUUUGAGAUUUGAAAUAGCACUUUUUGAACUCCGAUUUUGGUAAAUUUGGUAUGUACGGACCCGUGGUGAGACGAGGAAUUAGGUGAUGUGAAUUUUGUAAUUUUUCGGGAAGUGGGCCCGGGGCUCGGGUUUGCCAACUUCGUGAUUUUUAGUGUUUUUUGAGUAUUUUCAAUUGUGUUAUGUUUCUUUGGCACAUUGUAAUGUAUUCCUUAUGGUUUUGAUCAGAUUCGACGCAUGAGGAGGUCGAUUUGGGAGGAAAGGGCAUUGCGAGCUAGUCUUCGGCCGGCUAGAGGUGAGUAAUAGAUGUAGAUGAUGACCUGAGGGCUUGAAACCCUGGUAUAUCACACUGUGACACUAUAUUGAGGCGAGACACGCCCUCCAUGACAAGUGCGGGGUUGUUUGUGAUUGGGGACUAUGGCUUAGUACGCCCCGAGUGGUGUCCAAGCUGUGCUUUGGAAUAUAGACUGAUUAGUACAUAUCCUAGUUGGAUUUUUAAGAUAUAUUUAGGAUGUAUGCCAACUAUUUGAAUCCCUUGGGGAUUAUUAUCACUGCUUCCUUGAUUCUUAGCUAUGCUAUAUGAUUUCAGUCCUGAGUUUUAAACACUAUUUCGAAAUGUUUAGUCACAUUCCUAAGGUUUUAAAAACUUAUACUAUUUUUUUUCCUAAUAAUUGGAAAUGAGAACUAUAAUUUGACUUUGAUGUGUGACUCACAUGCAUAUUUUGUACUGAGUAUGGAUCGGGCUUCACACCGUAGCGAUGAUACGAUGAUAUUGCGCUUGGGCUGUAGGAGCCCCUCCGGAGUCUGGAUCCCCACAGUGAGUGCGGGUACCCAAAUGGAUCGGUUUGCGUGCCGCAGCGGUCAUAUGCAUUGCAUUGCAUUCAUAUUUUGAUAUUUAUCUGAUCUACCUGACUUUGUUUUGUUACCACUUCACCGUUAAUUAUGCUAAAUUGUUAGUUAUAACUUUACAUUGUGGUAUUUCGUGGGUUCUCAUCUUCAAUCAUUUUAUAUGCUUAUUACUCACUGAAUUGGAAGUACUCACUUUACUCUCUGCACUAUGUGUGCAGAUACAGGUAUUCCGGAGGCUUAGUAGUGUUGUUGCUGCCCUUUAGAUUAUCUCAAGAGUUGUCGAGGUAGCUGCCUGGCGUCCGCAGGACUCGACUCCUCCCCUUAUCUCUUUGAUUUCGCAUCUUAGACUCUAUUAUGAUCGAUUUUGCUACUCAGUUGUAUUAGAGGCUCUAAACUCGUGACCCCAGAUCUAUUGAGAGUUGUUUUGACAAUUAUUCUGAUUUUUCGUGUUCUAUGUAUUUACUAUCAGAUUAUGAAUCUUGUUAACUGCUAAAUUCACUUAAUCAAUUGGUAAUGAGAUUUCGUAUUUGGGUUAACAUUGCUUUAAAAAGUCGGGCUUGCCUAGCAUUCAUGUUGGGCGCCAUCACGACUGGGAUUGAGGUCGUGACUAUAUAUAUAUAUAUAUAUUCUACCGUAAUAAACUUGGAUUCUUGUCUUCA
rnacentral:lncRNA from 1 species